ensembl:lncRNA
UUUUUUUUUUUUUUUUUUCCUUUCUAGACAGGAUCUUGCUCUGUCGCCUAGGCUGGAGUGCACUCGCACAAUCACAGUUCACUGCAGCCUCGACCUCCCAGAUCCAAGCAGUCCUCCCACCGAAGCCUCCCAAGUAGCUGGGACUAUAGGUGCGUGGCACCAUGCCCAGCUGAUUUUUGUAUUUUUUGUACAGAUAGCAUUUUGCCAUGCUGCCCAGGCUGGUCUCAAACUCCUGACCUCAUGACCCACACCCCUCGGCCUCCCGAAGUGCUGGGAUUUUAGGCGUGAGCCACCGCACCCAGCCAAGUUAUAAUUUUUAAUAAAACUUAAGAAGAAUUAAGCAUUUUACUUAUGUUUAUAGAUAUUUGAUCUUAAUUUGGCACAUCAUUGUCCACGAAAGAAUCCUCUUAUGCUACUCAGCUUUACUCCUGUUCCUGCUUGCUCACCAGGGUUUUUCACUGCUUCUGUUAGCACUAAGUACUUAGGCGAUCCUAAGCUAUGUUCUUGAGCCGAAUUUCAUCUUCACUUGUAGGAAACUUUAUUUCUUUUCUUUUUUUUUUUAAAUUUGAGAUGGAGUUUUGCUCUUGUCGCCCAGGCUGGAGUGCAGUAGAGUGCUUGGCUCACUGCAACCUCCGCCUCCCAGUUUCAGAUGAUUCUCCUGCCUCAGCCUCCCAAGUAGCUGGGAUUACAGGUGUGCACCACCAUGUCUGGCUAAUUUCGUAUUUUUAGUAGAGAUGGUUCCACCAUGUUGGUCAGGCUGGUCUCGAACUCCUGACCUCAGGUCAUCCACCCACCUUGGCCUCGCAAAGUGCUGGGAUUACAGGCGUGAGCCACAGUGCCCAGCUUAAACUGUUUUCGUGAUCUGUUUUUGAUUUUGUUCUUUUUUCCUUGCCACUGCGGUACAGAUUUUUUUUACUCACUGCCACUAAACUAAAGCAAGGCAUAGUUUAUAUGUGAAGUGUUCAGAGUUUACUGCUAUAAGGAAACUUCCUAAUACUGACAUUCACCUUUUAGCUGUAGUUAUUGGGACCAUGUGCUCUGGUUUUCUGGAGACUGCCAGUUUGCUCCCUUCUGCAUCCCACCUGGGUUGUUUCUGUCUGUCCCCUUUCACUUUCAAAUGUCUUCAUUUGGAUGUUAAAUUAUAUGGUCACCUAGUUAUAGGUAAGCCAUGCUCGAGUUGAAAUCUUGAUAGUGAGGAAAGAUCUGUGUCAUUGGAGCUCAUUGUUUCUGCUGCAAUGUGCCAUAGACUAUGCAUAAUGAAAUCAUACCACAUUACCAUCAGAAUUCUUGUUUUAGUUGUCAUUUAAAUUAAUAUUUAUGAUUGUUAUCUUGGGCAAAAAGUUUAGAGCAGAGAUGACAAAUCAUUAGAACAACGAUGAAUUUCAGUAUUAUGGCUAAAAAGUUCCUCUGUCUCAAUAUUAACUCACUCUCCUUGCAGUGUACUUAACAGUAAUUGGUAUGCUUUUUUAUUUAAUGCUUAAAUCAGACUUUAUAAAAAUCUUAAACCAGGCCUUUAAUAUGGUAUGCCAUUUCGCCAGUCUACCAAUGGAAUAGUAUGGGCUUCUAAUCCUAGGCUUGUACAAUGGAUUGAAGUUGAGCCAUG